UACGUAGGGUGCGAGCGUUAAUCGGAAUUACUGGGCGUAAAGCGUGCGCAGGCGGCGCGUUAAGACAGGUGUGAAAGCCCCGAGCUUAACUUGGGAAUUGCGCUUGUGACUGGCGUGCUGGAGUGUGGCAGAGGGAGGUGGAAUUCCACGUGUAGCAGUGAAAUGCGUAGAGAUGUGGAGGAACACCAAUGGCGAAGGCAGCCUCCUGGGCCAGCACUGACGCUCAUGCACGAAAGCGUGGGGAGCAAACAGG
rnacentral:rRNA from 1 species